ensembl:lncRNA
AGCGCGCUGCACUGUGGUCUUCUCUCCCAUUCUUGGGUAAGUAAUAAACCAAAACCUAAAAAAAUUCCUCUCAGAGGAGCUAAGGGCUCCCUGAAUCCCAACAUUACAAGACCUUUAAGAGGUAAUUAGAUCAUGAGGACUCUGCCUUCUUAAAUGGAUUAAUACCAUUAUCAAUGAAGUGGGUUCAUUAUCAUGAGAGUGGAUUUGCUAUAAAAGUGAAUUUGGUUCCCUCUUGCUCUUUCUCCUGCACAUGUGAUGUCUCUCUAUGUGAUACUUCCUGCCAUGUUAUGUUGCAGGGAGAAGACUCUCACCAGAUGCAACCCCUCUAACUUAGACUUCCCAGCCUCCAGAAGGCAGAAAUGUGCUACAACCGCUCAAGGUCUGCAAUCAGAUUCCUAUUUAGAUGAUGUUGAGAGGCAAGUAUGACUAGUUCUCAUUAAUAUUUCAGGUCCUAUGUGCCACACUUACACUGCCAUUUUGUAGUCAUUUGUUCUACAUCUAAAGAUUAAUUUAUAAUCAGAUAUGUGCAAUCUGUUAUAUGCAUUAAGCUUGAUUAUACCUGUGUCUUCACGAAGAUAACUGUGACAUAUUAAUUUGCAAGUGUGCUCUAUUUACAUUAUAUAUAGUAUUACAGACAAUAUUAGGCAUACGAUAAUUGCCAUUAGGCCCCAAAAUUGAUAAUAUGAUUUCCCAAUGACUCUGAAACAUUUUCAAGAUACUAGAAAUUUGUGACAGAUGCCUCUUACAUCUGUGAGAAUCUAGAAUAUUAUGCUUUAAAAUGCAUUUUCUCAUAAGUAGCUCAUUAACUUUCUCAUUGUUCUCAGUUGUAAAUCCGUAAAAAGUUAUUUUGUUGACUUGUCUGUAACAAGAAAUAUUUUGCACUCAUUAAGGUAAUUAAAGCAAGACUAGUGCAUGCAUGCUCGCUAUAUUCAAAACAUUUUCUACUUGAUAUGAGUUGUCAUGGCAUUAUCAAGACUGGGAAGGAAAGAAAAAAUAAAAUAGGGUCAGCCUAUGGUUUUGCUCUUUGACUUUGAAUAUGAUUAAUUGCAUCUUUAAAUUUGUUCCUGAGUCCUUGUUUAAAAUCAAAACUGGAAAACAUUUUGCAGGAGCAAUACUCUUGUUCAAUUUGCUUCUUUUAAUUCAAUAGAAUGCUUAACGUCAUACAUUUUGGCAAGUUUUAUAAAUCUUUUGUCUUUUUGUUACAGUCAGGUAAGGGUUUUAUUUCCUCUCAUGUAUUUGCUUUAUUUUGCUUGGGUAAAUAAAUGUUUUUAAAUUUAGUUUAUGUCUUUACAUUAUAUAGGUAGUCCAAGAUGUCAGCUGGUAACAAAAUUAUCCAAGCAAAAUAGAUGUUUAUGUUAUGGGUUUCUUGAUCUUCUACUCUUAGGCUUUUUGAGAUAGAUUCACUUUUAUCCUUUUGAUCUUCUAAAACAUUUUUUUCUUUUUAAUUUUUGUGGGUACAUAGUAGGUGUAUAUAUUUACGAGGCACAACAGCAGUUUUGAUACAGGCAUACAAAACAUGAUAAUCACAUCAGGGUAAAUGGAAUAUCCAUCACCUCAAGCAUUUAUCAUCUCUUUGUAUUAUAAUUUAAUUCUAUGCUUCUAAUUAUUUUUCAAUGUAUAAUAAAUUCCUAUUGACUACAGUCACCCUGAUGUGCUAUGACACAGUAGAUCUUAAUCAUUCUAUCUAUUUUUGUACCCAUUAACCAUUCUCAUUCUGUACCAGUCUUCCCACUAUGCUUCCCAGCCUCUGGUACCCAUCUUUCUACUCUAUCUCUGUGAGUUUAAUGGUUUUAAUUUUUAUCUCCCACAAAUAAGUGAGAACAUGGAAAGUUUGUCUUUCUUACCUGGUUUAUUCACUUAACCUAAUGACCUCUAGUUCCAUUCAUGUCAUUGCAAAUGACAGGAUGUCAUUCUUUAUAUUUCAUCCACAAAUGGUAUGACAAGCUGUAGUAGACAGGUAUUAUUUUCUGGUCUAAUCUCACAUCCCCAUUUUAUCUUUAGGAGAAACUAAACUAUUUUUCUGCAAACUACCCCUUUCCCCACCUUAAUCCUAUAGGUGUUUUGUUUUGUUUUGCUGCAACUCUACUUUAUUACCUUACUUAUUGUAUGCCUGUUGCUCCAUCCAGGUGUGGGCAGUUUAUCCUAUUGAUUCAAUCGUUUCUUCAAUGAGCACUUUUUAAAUUAUACAGGAAAGUAUGAGUGAUUCCAGUUUAUUGCCAAGUUUUAAAUUGUGAUGACAUCAGCUCUAUUAAUAGGCUAAUAAAACUUUUAAGAUUAGGCCUGGUCAUAAGAAUACUUUUUCAGCAUUCAUUUCUUGAAUAGAUACACAAAAUGCUUUAUUUUAUGGUUCUGUAUUAGUCAAAAUUCUCCAAAUAUGCAGAACCAAUAGAUAGAUAGAUACAUAGAUGAUAGAUAGAUACGAAAAUAGAUAUAUAAAUACAUGUGAGGGGAUUUAUUAGGGAAUUGGCUCAAAUAUUAUGGAAGUUCAGAUGUCCCACACUAGAUCAUCUGUAACCUGAAACCAGAGAAGCCACUAGCAUGGCUCAGUCCAAUUUGGAAGGUCCAAGAACUGAGAAAUCCAACGAUGAAAGUCUCAAUCUGAGUCCAGCGGCAGGAGAGCCCCAGGAGACUGCUAGUGCGAAUCCCAGAGUCAAUGACUGAAAAACCUAGAGUUCUGAUGCUUGACGGCAGCAGAAGGGUGUCCUACUUCAAAAGAGAGAAAGAUAGAAUUAGCCCUUCUACCUUUUUGUUUAUAUAGGCGCCCUUAGCCAGUUGGAUUUGCCUACAUUGAGAAUAGCAUUUCCCUACUUUGUUGACUGGCUGAUAUGCCAGUUGUCCUCCAAAAACACCCU